AAUAAUUAAUUAAUUUAGAAAAAAAAUAAUAAAAAAGACUAAAAUAACAAUAAAAAAUAUUUGAAAGAGAGACAAACCUUAGUUACAUGUGAAGUUAAAAUUAUAGUGAACUAAGAUAGAGAAGUGAUUAAGCUCGUCCAAUAAAAUAUAAUUGUGAUGAUUUUGAGCUAAAUUUGAUAAUUUUAGCUAUUAGAAGUCAACUGUUCUAAGUGAUGUCUCAAUUUUAUUUAACAACAUGAAAACCCUUGUAAGAAUACAUGUAUACUAUUUUUGUUCAGUAGUCACAUGACAUUAUCCUUAUUAAAAAAGUAUACAUUAAUUAGGGGGGAAAAAUAUCUUAAGCCUUUUCUCCCAUCAACCAUGGAAAGUCACUUUCAUAUUGCACCAAUAAUAUUUGACUAAUCUUUUUUUUAUUUUCUUAAUAAAAUUAGUCAUAUUUUCCUUCUAUUCACGUUAUUCCUUUCUUUUGAUAUUUUCUUACUUCCUCCGUAUAUUUUUCUUUAUAUUCACUAAAACACUGUUUAUCAAGAUAUUCUUUUUUUUUUUGUUUUUUUACUAGUAAAAAUGUAUUUACAUAUCCUCUUUAUGUCUUUACCUAUGACUGCUCUAUUAAAGGAAAGUUUUUUAGUCCCUCAGUUGCUAUUUUCAGGACUUAGUCCAACAAUUGUUGUGAGCCAUAGGAUAUGCUAGUUUUUAGAGUGAAUGGUUGGAUUUAAAUUUGUUGAUUGAAUGAUACAAAAAUACACAUAUACCCUUAGGGACCCCCUUUAACCGGGUAUCGAUUGCCAUUUACCCUUUAGUUUGUUUUUAAUUUGUUUAAGCAAACAAGAUAAAAAAAAAAAAAACUUCUUCCUCUUCAACUGAGUUUUACUGAGUAACGUUCUGGUUCUUUCUGCCAUUGCUAAAUCGUUGGAGUGGGUUGUGAGUGGAGCGUGGUUACCUACUGUUUAAAGUGUUCGGCUACGUGAGUUUCGCCUUUAGCAGUGUCGGAGUUGGAGAAAAGAGUUGUUCUGUUACUGGUUCAACGUAGAUGAUGGAUCUUUGGAUGUUCGUGGGAAGCACUUCAAACUGGACAGUAAAGUUUUUAGUGCUACCAUGGGUGUUAAUGAUAGUGUCGAAGAUUUACAAAGACAUGGUAACCCUGUUGAACAACCUUUUUAUAAGAAAGGUGAGAAGAAUACUGUUAGUUUGUUGGAGGAGAAAUUGAGGCUUCGUGAAUUGGCCGACAUGUCCUUUGUUCGACAAUUUUUGUUAUUUUUGGUUAGUGUUUUUUUGCUGCCUAAUACGUCUCUACAUGUUGCUCGAGAGGUUGAGGGUCCUAUAAUGUCCCUAACUGACAUUGCCGCUGUUUGUCGUGUUAAUUGGGCGUCAAUGGCAUAUACGCAUCUAUGGAAAAGCAUAAGACGGUAUCAUGGAAAAGCAUCGAAGUUCGUUGGAGGAUGCGUCUAUUUUUUACAGGUAUUUUACUGUCACCAUAUUAUUUGGAAGGAAGGGUAUGUAGAUAGGUCCCUAUGCCCUAUAAGUGUUUGGUGUGAUGAUGAUACCAAGGCUUUGCUUGACUGGGUUGAAGAGGAAGGGGGGUUUGAGUCGAAUACAAUCCCCAUGUUAGAAUUGCAAGAAGGGGUCGAUCAAUUGAAGUUACCCGCCACGAUAUCGUCUUUGUGUGUAAUGGUUGAAUCUUUGGAGAAGAAAUUGAUUGCUAAGGAGAAUUAAAUGGAUAAAUUUAAAGAGGAGAUGAAGAUUGAACUGGACAUGGGAUUUCAACGCUUACAACAAAGUUUGAGUACUCCAAAUCAUCACGUCAUUCAAAUUGACAAUUUUAAAGAGGAGAUGAAAUUGUAUUUCGACAAAGGAUUCGAACGAUUACAUCAAAGUUUCAAUACUGCGAUAAGUUCAAUGGUUCCCGGGAAUGCUUCCCCCCAUAUUAGCAAGGAAGAGGCCGCUAAGUGUGUGCAGUUUGGGAAGUUGACUAAAGACCCAAUCGAGCCAACCAUUUACUUGCAUGAGAAAACAAAGUUGAGCAAGAUGACAAUUGACCCCAUGCUUUUGGAGUGCGGCAUAGGUCGUCCAAAUGAGUUUGAAGAUUCUUAUAGAAAGGGUUCAAUUUCUAAUAUCGAGAGGGGAAAAAGGGGCAAUAGAAAAUGAUUUCAAUGAUUAUGAACCAACUGUUUUACCCUCAGACAAGUACAAUGUUGAUGUUGGGCCUUACAAUGAUAUCCACAACGUUGAUGGUGUACUAUCAUGUUCAGGGAAUGAGAAGAUAGAUGUUGAGAAUGAGAUUGGUUUGGAAGAUGAUGCUUCUAAAUUUCGCAUGGAAGUGAAGGAGAAGGAGAAAGAGGACUUGGGUAUUUUGAAUUUUGAAGUUGUACCAGAAGAUGUCAUUCCAUACGAAGCCAGUGUGUAUGGUACCACAGACACUCCUGUUAUUCACAAAAUAGAGGACGAUGACAACGUGAAGAUCGAUCCUACUAUUUUAAGGAGAGACAAAGAGCUUUGCAAAAUGGACAAAUCAUUUCAGGAUAUGAUUCUUAAGUAUAACAAAGGCAGGCAGAUUGGUGCAUUCAAUUUGAAAGUAGCCCUACCACAGUCCAAGUUCAAACUUGGGCUUUUCCUAUUUGACUUUAGUUUGUCGUUGCGAGACGUGUUGGUCGAUAAUGUAAUGGGACAGUUGGAGCGGUGGUACUUCAGAAGCCUUAGACCUGAAGCUGAGGUGGACAUGAAGAUUAUUGAUGCUUUUGGGUGUGUAUUAAGAUAUAGAGACAACCCUGAUGGUAUAAUAGAUGACGAUGCUCAAACUUUGAUUUUCCCAACCUAUUGGCCUGGCCUGAUAUGUUGUAAUACAAAUUUGAAUUUCCUGGGUUCAAUAUUCCAUUUUUUUGUUUUGAAUUUAAAAAUUUAUUUCAAUAAAAUAACUUGAAAUAGCGAUAUCAUAAUGGUACAUAUUUUUGGGACACCGGCAACACUGGCUUUCUUGGUACCAAUGUAAAUCUUGAUAUGCUGCUCAAGAAAGUGCAGAAGAUCCUAGUGCCAAUGAAGGAUGUCGAAAACAAUCAUUGGAUACUAGCCGUUAUACACUACCAGAAAGGUUGUGCAAGCGUGUAGGACUCAGUGUCUGGUCGAUAUAGGACACGGGUCAGGACACAUAUACUAAGCGAACUGUUAAAGAAGUUUGACGUGUUGCUUCAUACGACCAUGGGUAGUGCUCGUGUUGGUGGUCCCGUUUUUUCCCUUUUUAGUGUAGUGCCCUCUGGUCAAGUACCUCAGCAAGAUAAUGGUCAUGACUGUGGUGUUUUUGUCAUGAAGUUUAUGGAGUGGAUUGUGGAUGGGAAAUCACCCCCGAAGUCCUAUAAAGUUGAGGAUGCUGCUAGACUCAACAUUGCAAUCGAUAUCUUGACUUGUGAGUCCAAUAGGCUUCGAUUGGGAGUGAAAGAUAACGCAGCGACUUAUUAUAAAGCUUGUUUAAGUAGCGUUGAGAAAUCCCCUGACUUAAAAGAACGGUCUUGUUAUCCUCCAAAAGCUUCGUAGGCGCAACCUCCCAUGCUAUCAACGAAAAAGGCUAGAGACAAAUACUGGUCCAAGUUGGGUAAGAGAAAGAGGAAGAAUUAAUUGAACUUAACCACCAUCUGCCUGCCUUGUACAAUUUUGGCACUACUUUCAUUUACCAUUAAAUUAACUAUAUUUCGUAGGCGCAACCAUCAAAUUUAAAACUUUAUUACUUUAGUAUUUGUUUACAAACAAUUUA